UCUACUAGAUGUACAAAGAAGAGCUGGUACCAUUCCUACAGAAACUAUUCUAAAAAACUGAGGAGAAAGGACUCCUUCCCAACUCCUCCUAUGAGGCUAGCAUCAUCUUGAUGCUAAACUUUCAAUGACUCUCCACCACCAAGAGGAUGAAUUUCUGUCUCCUUAGAAUGGCAUAUAAAGCCUUUUGUGAUUUGGCCCUGGCUUCCCUCUCCACUCCUGCACCUAUACUUAAGUACUUGUAGGUCCCUUAGGGAGCCAUAAUUUGUGGCAUUUUUACAUGUUACUUCCUUGGCAUAUAUAUUUUAUUUUUAAUUUUUGUCAGGCCCAGACCACUUAGAUGUUGCUGACUCCAGGAAAGCUUCCCUUACUCCCUGGGUGCUGGGCUAAGCACCCCUAUUCUGGGUUCCCCUCUGCUUACCAUAUCACAGCACUUCCGUGACUUCAUAAUCGUCUGUUUACUUGCCAUCUCCUCUGUUAAAUUCUGAGCUCCCUGAUGGGAGUAUUCACGGUUAGAGGCUCAGUCUUUAUUACCGUUCCUACUACACUUCAGGAACUCAAAAGCUUUGCUGAAAUAAUGCAAGGUGAUAAUAAAAGUAGAAGGACUUGGGAUAUUCUUGGUUUCUGAAGGCAUCAAACAGGAAUCAACAAAGCAGCAGGAAAAACGACGGGCUUUUUAAGUUUCACGAAAACUACGGUGUGCAGGACUGGUCAAAACAGUAAUCAAACAAUGCAAGUGGCAAGAAUCAGGAAGUGCACAGAAACGAGAAGCUCGGUGCACACUGGGAUCGGGCAAGCGUCUGGGAGAAGAUUGUAGCAAGACUGGAUCCUGAGAUGAGGAAACUGAAGCCCAGAGAGAUGAAAUGAUUUUCCAUGUUAAUACAGAGACAGCUGUGCCUGACGUGUGGCCAGAUCCCAGAAGAUGAGUUUCUCUAAGAAGAUCACAUGAACCAUCCCGAAAGGCCUGUUGCUUCGAAGCUCAGGAAUCCAGGGACCCCUUCCUAUUAUGCGAACUUCCUGGGCAGAGCUUCAGGCUACUCAGCGGAAUGUCUAUGGUUCUGUAGCUUCAAGAGGAGCCAGGAAGAUGAGCUUCCAAGCCAAGGGAAACACUGCUUCAGACUCAAGACCACGAUUUGGCAGAGACCACGGGGCCUGCUGAAUUUAGGAGAGGACUCAUACCCCUUCCUUACUCAAACCACUCUUUCCCACUAAAAGAGGAUGGAGGUGACCUAAGAAAUCUGCUUUAUUCACCAGCACACAGCAGUUGCUUGGGUGAAAUGGACUCCGGUCCCAUUUUGGUACAAUAGGAAAGGCAAGUGCCUCCCUCUCUAUCUGGGAAGAAAGGAGAAGGAAGCCAGAGUGGAAAUCAGACAUCUGAAGUCUCAGCAGCAGUCUUGGUCUGUGCUUAGACAAAUAAUCUCAAGGCGACCCAAAUCCCCCUGUUCGUUCUGAAAACAGACAGUGCCAGAGUGAAACAGAAUUAAAUUGUUUCUCUUUCAUGGCA